rnacentral:rRNA from 1 species
UACGUAGGGACCAAGCGUUGUUCGGAUUUACUGGGCGUAAAGGGCGCGUAGGCGGCAAUUCAAGUCAGCUGUGAAAUCUCUGGGCUUAACCCAGAACGGCCAGCUGAUACUGCUUUGCUAGAGUGCAGAAGGGGCAAUCGGAAUUCUUGGUGUAGCGGUGAAAUGCGUAGAUAUCAAGAGGAACACCUGAGGUGAAGACGGGUUGCUGGGCUGACACUGACGCUGAGGCGCGAAAGCUAGGGGAGCAAACGGG